rnacentral:rRNA from 1 species
UGAGUACGAGAUGCUACGGCAUCGAAGCAGUCUAUGUCAUACUUCCAAGAAAAGCUUGCACUGUCAGAAACAGAUAAUGCCUGUACCAUAACCGACACAGGUGGGUAGGUAGAGUAUACUAAGGGGCGCGAGAUAACUCUCUCUAAGGAACUCGGCAAAAUGACUCCGUAACUUCGGGAGAAGGAGUGCCUUAUUUUUAAGGUUGCAAUAACAAGAUCCAAGCAACUGUUUACCAAAAACACAGGUCUCCGCUAAGUCGUAAGACGAUGUAUGGGGGCUGACGCCUGCCCAGUGCCAGAAGGUUAAAGAAGUCGGUUAGCAUUCGCGAAGCUGGUAACUGAAGCCCUGGUGAACGGCGGCCGUAACAAUAACGGUCCUAAGGUAGCGAAAUUCCUUGUCGGGUAAGUUCCGACCCGCACGAAAGGCGUAAUGAUUUGGAUACUGUCUCGGAGAGGGGCUCGGUGAAAUAGACUUGUCUGUGAAGAUGCGGACUACCUGCACCUGGACAGAAAGACCCUAUGAAGCUUUACUGUAACUUGAAAUUGAAAUUGGACUUUAUUUGCGCAGUAUAGGUGGGAGGCGUUGAAAAUAUUCUUGCGGGAAUAUUGGAGCCAUCAGUGAGAUACCACUCUUGUAAUGUUAGAUUUCUAACUUUAUAUCAUUAUCUGGUUAAAGAACAGUUUCAGGCGGCAGUUUGACUGGGGCGGUCGCCUCCCAAAUGGUAACGGAGGCGCACAAAGGUUUCCUCUGAACGGGUAGAAAUCGUAUCUAGAGUGUAAAGGCAUAAGGAAGCUUGACUGUGAGACCUACAAGUCGAGCAGGGACGAAAGUCGGUCUUAGUGAUCUGACGGUGCUGAGUGGAAAGGCCGUCACUCAACGGAUAAAAGUUACUCUAGGAUAACAGGCUGAUCUCCCCCAAGAGUUCACAUCGACGGGGAGGUUUGGCACCUCGAUGUCGGCUCAUCGCAUCCUGGGGCGGUAGUACGUCCCAAGGGUUGGGCUGUUCGCCCAUGAAAGCGGUACGCGAGCUGGGUUCAGAACGUCGUGAGACAGUUCGGUCCAUAUCCGGUGUAGGCGUUAGAAUAUUGAGAGGAGCCUUCUUUAGUACGAGAGGACCGAGAAGGACAUACCUCUGGUGUACCAGUUAUCGUGCCAACGGUAAACGCUGGGUAGCUAUGUAUGGAGUGGAUAACCGCUGAAAGCAUCUAAGUGGGAAGCCCACCUCAAGAUAAGUAUUCUCAUCA